rnacentral:rRNA from 1 species
UACAGAGGUCCCAAGCGUUGUUCGGAUUCAUUGGGCGUAAAGGGUGCGUAGGCGGCGCGGUAAGUCGGGUGUGAAACCUCGGAGCUUAACUCCGAAACUGCAUUCGAUACUGCCGUGCUUGAGGACUGGAGAGGAGACUGGAAUUUACGGUGUAGCGGUGAAAUGCGUAGAUAUCGUAAGGAAGACCAGUGGCGAAGGCGGGUCUCUGGACAGUUCCUGACACUGAGACACGAAGGCCAGGGGAGCAAACGGG